rnacentral:rRNA from 1 species
GACGAACGCUGGCGGCGUGCUUAACACAUGCAAGUCGAACGGAAAGGCCCUGCUUUUGUGGGGUGCUCGAGUGGCGAACGGGUGAGUAACACGUGAGUAACCUGCCCUUGACUUUGGGAUAACUUCAGGAAACUGUGGCUAAUACCGGAUAGGAGCUCCUGCUGCCUGGUGGGGGUAGGAAAGUUUCGGCGGUUGGGGAUGGACUCGCGGCUUAUCAGCUUGUUGGUGGGGUAGUGGCUUACCAAGGCUUUGACGGAUAGCCGGCCUGAGAGGGUGACCGGCCACAUUGGGACUGAGAGACGGCCCAGAGUCCUACGGGAGGCAGCAGUGGGGAAUAUUACACAAUGGGCGGAAGCCUGAUGCAGCAACGCCGCGUGCGGGAUGACGGCCUUCGGGUUGUAAACCGCUUUCGCCUGUGACGAAGCGUGAGUGACGGUAAUGGGUAAAGAAGCACCGGCUAACUACGUG